GUCUGCUCAGUUGGUGAGAGUGUGGUGCUGAUAACACCAAGGUCGCAGGUUCGAUCCCCAUCAUGGACA